rnacentral:rRNA from 1 species
AAUGGGUGAGUAACACGUACCUAACCUACCUUUUGGACCGGGAUAACCAUUGGAAACAGCGGCUAAUACCAGAUACGAUAAAAAAAUGCAUGUUUUUUUAUUAAAAGAAGCCUUUAAAGCUUCACCAAAAAAUGGGGGUGCGCAACAUUAGUUAGUUGGUAGGGUAAAGGCCUACCAAGACGAUGAUGUUUAGCGGGGCCAAGAGGCUGUACCGCCACACUGGGAUUGAGAUACGGCCCAGACUCCUACGGGAGGCAGCAGUAAGGAAUAUUCCACAAUGAGCGAAAGCUUGAUGGAGCGACACAGAGUGCAGGAUGAAGUCUUUAGGGAUGUAAACUGCUGUUGUAAGGGAAGAAAAAACUAGAUAGGAAAUGAUUUAGUCUUGACGGUACCUUAUUAGAAAGUGACGGCAAACUAUGUGCCAGCAGCCGCGGUAAUACAUAGGUCGCAAGCGUUAUCCGGAAUUAUUGGGCGUAAAGCGUCCGCAGGUUUUUUGUUAAGUUUAAGGUUAAAUGCUAAAGCUCAACUUUAGUUCGCUUUAGAUACUGACAAAAUAGAAUUAUGAAGAGGUUAGCGGAAUUCCUAGUGGAGCGGUGGAAUGCGUAGAUAUUAGGAAGAACACCAAUAGGCGAAGGCAGCUAACUGGUCAUAUAUUGACACUAAUGGACGAAAGCGUGGGGAGCAAACAGGAUUAGAUACCCUGGUAGUCCACGCCGUAAACGAUGAUCAUUAGUUGGUGGCAAAAGUCACUAGCACAGCUAACGCGUUAAAUGAUCCGCCUGAGUAGUAUGCUCGCAAGAGUGAAACUUAAAGGAAUUGACGGGAACCCGCACAAGCGGUGGAGCAUGUGGUUUAAUUUGAAGAUACGCGUAGAACCUUACCCACUCUUGACAUCCUCGCAAAACUAUAGAGAUAUAGCGGAGGCUAACGAGAUGACAGAUGGUGCA